rnacentral:rRNA from 1 species
GACGAACGCUGGCGGCGUGCUUAACACAUGCCAGUCGAACGGAAAGGCCCUGCUUUUGUGGGGUGCUCGAGUGGCGAACGGGUGAGUAACACGUGAGUAACCUGCCCUUGACUUUGGGAUAACUUCAGGAAACUGGGGCUAAUACCGGAUAGGAGCUCCUGCUGCAUGGUGGGGGUUGGAAAGUUUCGGCGGUUGGGGAUGGACUCGCGGCUUAUCAGCUUGUUGGUGGGGUAGUGGCUUACCAAGGCUUUGACGGGUAGCCGGCCUGAGAGGGUGACCGCCCACAUUGGGACUGAGAUACGGCCCAGACUCCUACGGGAGGCAGCAGUGGGGAAUAUUGCACAAUGGGCGGAAGCCUGAUGCAGCAACGCCGCGUGCGGGAUGACGGCCUUCGGGUUGUAAACCGCUUUCGCCUGUGACGAAGCGUGAGUGACGGUAAUGGGUAAAGAAGCACCGGCUAACUACGUG